rnacentral:rRNA from 1 species
CAGCUUGUUGGUGGGGUAAUGGCCUACCAAGGCGACGACGGGUAGCCGGCCUGAGAGGGCGACCGGCCACACUGGGACACAGAGACCGGGGAUACUCCUACGGGAGGCAGCAGUGGGGAAUAUUGCACAAUGGGCGCAAGCCUGAUGCAGCGACGCCGCGACAGGGAUGACGGCCUUCGGGUUGUAAACCUCUUUCACCCAUGACGAAGCGCAAGUGACGGUAGUGGGAGAAGAAGCACCGGCCAACUAGUGCCAGCAGCCGCGGUAAUACGUAGGGUGCGAGCGUCGUCCGGAAUUACUGGGCGUAAAGAGCUCGUAGGCGGUUUGUCGCGUCGUCUGUGAAAACCCGCAGCUCAACUGCGGGCUUGCAGGCGAUACGGGCAGACUCGAGUACUGCAGGGGAGACUGGAAUUCCUGGUGUAGCGGUGAAAUGCGCAGAUAUCAGGAGGAACACCGGUGGCGAAGGCGGGUCUCUGGGCAGUAACUGACGCUGAGGAGCGAAAGC